rnacentral:rRNA from 1 species
AGAGGGUGCAAGCGUUGUUCGGAAUUAUUGGGCGUAAAGGGCGCGUAGGCGGUGCGGUAAGUCUUUUGUGAAAUCUCCGGGCUCAACUCGGAGUCUGCAGGAAAAACUGCCGUGCUUGAGUGUGGGAGAGGUGAGUGGAAUUCCCGGUGUAGCGGUGAAAUGCGUAAAUAUCGGGAGGAACACCUGUGGCGAAAGCGGCUCACUGGACCACAACUGACGCUGAGGCGCGAAAGCUAGGGGAGCAAACAGGAUUAGAUACCCUGGUAGUCCUACCCCUAAACGAUGAUUGCUUGGUGUGGCAGGUACCCAAUCCUGCUGUGCCGAAGCUAACGCGAUAAGCAAUCCGCCUGGGGAGUACGGUCGCAGGGCUG